AGUGACUUAAUUCUCUAGACCUGUCAAUUGAAUUCCAGUUUUGAGAUUUUGGACACUUGGAGAUAAGUUGGAUGUGAUUAAGAACUCACAGAUACUUUCUUAGUUUCUUUUCUGUCACUGUGGUGAAAUACUCUUGACAAAAGCCACAUGAGGAGAAAGGGUUUAUUUUAGCUCAGAGCUCAUAAGUGAAAUUUUCUAACAUUCUAAUUUUCAACUCUCUUUUAGGACUAAUUGUCAGCCUAGAAAAGGAGCUCGCUCCCUUAUUUGAAGAACUGAUAAAAGUUGUGGAAGUGUCUUAAUCCAGCAGUGGUUCUGGUGCGUGCCUCGGCCUCCCUGCAGCAACCCUGGACCAGGCCAGCAACCUUCAGACCACACUCGUACUUGUAUCCAUGUAUUCAAAGGGCCGCCUUUCCACCGUACACUAAAGAAGAGCCUACCACUAUAAUUUAUAGACAGAUCAAUUGUUAUAUUUAUGUGUAUGAAGUCUUUUCUUCCUCAGUGAGACCUGGGAACGCCACAGAAAUGGUUCAUUCUAUUGCAGCUCCCAUGGAGUUAGUGCGGGCGCCUGAGAGAGCGGCCUCUGUCCAGCACAUCAGGGUGGGAUGGUACGGUGAGGCCGGAGCCCGCAAGCACACCUGAACUCUGCUCCACUCCAUAAGCCGUAGACCUUUACCGAGAUUGUAAUGAGGUCGUUUUCUUAUUAAGGUUAUAUUGUAUUUCUUCUCACUGUGAGGAAGAUGAAAUGGCUCAGUAAAAAUAAUCAAGUACAAUCGCUAACGCCCCUCUGCUCUCAGUGCGGUGAGUGUUACUAAUGGACUCGAUUCUUCAGGGUGCCGCUCCUCAGUGAGAAUGAAAUCACUACUCAGACUCUUCUGCUUCCCCUG
rnacentral:lncRNA from 1 species